rnacentral:rRNA from 1 species
AUUGAACGCUGGCGGCAGGCCUAACACAUGCAAGUCGAACGCGUGGCGGCCGGGUGAGUAAUGUCUGGGUAACUGCCCGAUGGAGGGGGAUAACACCUGGAAAAGGUAGCUCAUACCGCAUACAAUCGGAUGUGCCCAGAUGGGAUUAGCUAGGAGGUGGGGUAACGGCUCCCCUAGGCGACGAUCCCUAGCUGGUCUGAGAGGAUGACCAGCCACACUGGAACUGAGACACGGUCCAGACGCCUACGUGAGGCAGCAGUGGGGAAUAUUGCACAAUGGGCGCAAUCCUGAUGCAGCCAUGCCGCGUGUAUGAAGAAGGCCUUCGGGUUGUAAAGUACUUUCAGCGAGGAGGCGUUACUCGCAGAAGAAGCACCGGCUAACUCCGUGCCAGCAGCCGCGGUAAUUC